UACGGGGGGGGCAAGCGUUGUUCGGAAUUACUGGGCGUAAAGGGCUCGUAGGCGGCCAACUAAGUCAUACGUGAAAUCCCUCGGCUUAACCGGGGAACUGCGUCUGAUACUGGAUGGCUUGAGUUCGGGAGAGGGAUGCGGAAUUCCAGGUGUAGCGGUGAAAUGCGUAGAUAUCAGGAGGAACACCUGUGGUGUAGACAGCUUACUGGACCAUUUCUGACGCUGAGACACGAAAGCGUGGGUAGCAAACAGG
rnacentral:rRNA from 1 species